CAAACGAUCGAACGAAUAUCGGUGUUUAUUUUUUAUUUUCCGUUUAGUUUUCUGUUCUUUUGUUUGAGAAACUUUUAUUAUCGUAUACGAGAAUACGAGGCCUGUAGUUUCGUAGUCAAAAUCGUGUAUAAAAAUAGUGUAUACCGUGAGGGUUUACUGUGGCAAUGUACAUAAAUGAGGAUUGAGAGUUAGGUUUAGGAACAUUAAAUUCCAAAGAAACAUUAAGCAGGGGUAUUCUUCAGAAGACUCUGAGUUUUAUUGAAAUUUCAAAAAAGAAGAUUGUCUUGUGCGUGCUAAGGAUCUAGGUAUUAGUGUAGUUUUAGUUAUUGUGUUUAAGUUAAGUUUGAAGAGGUAUCACGUAAAAUGUCAACAAAAAAACAACCAAAAAGUAAAAGUUCACUUAGACGCAUAGUGACCAAAAAAACUGAAACAGAACUUUUGCUGACUUCAGAUGACACUCUAUGACCCUAUCCAGAGUUAUAAUUGUGAGAUGUAAUAAAAGAACCUCAAAUGUGUGUUAUGAUGAAAUAAUCAGUGAAAUAAAAAGAUGGCUGGUCAAGGCAAAGGAAAGAUUGCAAAACAAAAACAAGAAAAGUGAAAAAUUGGCUGACAAACGGAAUACACAAGAGGACAAUAAUGUAUAAAAUAUGUUGCAUUAUUUGAUUUUUAUUAAAUAAAUUUUAUAAGCAUA